CUUGAUCGACCCGAGCCAGAGCGGCUGGUCGUCGGGCCGUUCCUGCCCGUAGGUGGCCGAGAGAGCCUGUGCCUC
rnacentral:antisense_RNA from 1 species